GAUGAACGCUGGCGGCGUGCUUAACACAUGCAAGUCGAACGGUGAACCCGGAGCUUGCUCUGUGGGAUCAGUGGCGAACGGGUGAGUAACACGUGAGCAACCUGCCCCUGACUCUGGGAUAAGCUCUGGAAACGGCGUCUAAUACUGGAUAUGUGACGUGACCGCAUGGUCUGCGUUUGGAAGGAUUUUUCGGUUGGGGAUGGGCUCGCGGCCUAUCGGCUUGUUGGUGAGGUAAUGGCUCACCAAGGCGUCGACGGGUAGCCGGCCGGGGAGGGUGACCGGCCACAUGGGGACGGAGAAACGGCCCAGACUCCUACGGGAGGAAGCAGGGGGGAAUAUGGCACAAGGGGCGAAAGCCUGAUGCAGCAACGCCGCGGGAGGGAUGACGGCCUUCGGGUUGUAAACCUCUUUUAGCAGGGAAGAAGCGAAAGGGACGGUACCUGUAGAAAAAGCGCCGGCUAACUACGU
rnacentral:rRNA from 1 species